ACAAUAUAAUAACAAAAAUAUUAAAACACAUCACAAAACAAUUUGUAGUUCCAGACAUAAAUAAGUAAUAGGAUGUUCAUAAAAUUUUCAUACAACAUUCUUCUAUAAUUUCUAUAAUAUAUAAGAGUAAAAUCUGGUGUGGAAGCGUGUCUGCACCUCUCUCAGCAACGCAUUUAAUACAAACCCGUUAAAUACAAUCAGCAGUCAGGAAACCAUAUUUUGUUCGCAACAAAGUUUCACUAAACUAAUUUUCCACGACAUUUGGAUCAUUUAACAUUAUUUAUGUAAAAUUUGAGUGACCACAAUCUAUAAAUUGACGCCAUAAACUAUAGGAAAUUGGAGCUUAUAGUAUGAAUAUAAAAUCAUUGAAACCGUGAUGCAUUCACUUACAUAGUAUUAGUCUAGUUGAUCUAGACUUAUGCUAGAAAAUACCGAUAAAUUUGUAAUUAACUAAACUAAUUUCAAACUAAUACAUUACACUAUAAGCAUCAACUUUUGUUAUAAGCAAAAUUGAAAUUCGAAUUCCUAUGGAAUAUUGCACUCAAAAUAAUGGUGAUAUUAAUAUUAAAGCACGAAAGGAUAUUAAAUGGAUUAAAUGGACUUUAUAUCUGAA